GGCAAACUCUGAGCUGUAACCAAUCUAGCUGUUUCUGUACCUCACUUCGCAUUCCUGUCCUUUUUUGUCUAUAAAUUUGUUCUGACCACGAGGCAUCCCUGGAGUCUCUCUGAAUCUGCUGUGAUUCUGGGGGCUGCCCGAUUCAUGAACUGUUCAUUGCUCAACUAAACUCCUUUAAAUUUAAUUCGGCUGAAGAUUUUCUUUUAUCAGGUGGUGUCAGAAGUGGGAUCUGAAGCGGAGGUUCCAGCAACUCCCAGGAGCACUGAAUGAACACACAAGGUUGUAAAUGCUUGCCAGACAUCUCUGGGACAUCAAAUGGUCUCUCUUCAACUGGAAUGACAAAAGCUGAAAGAAAUGGGUGACCAUGAGGACGCUGCAACUUAUGAAUGACGUGCUGAGACCGGAAACCCAAAAUAAUGGUAACUGAGGGACCCUAAGUUUUGUUCACACUCUCACCUAAGUGAGAACCUGGCCAAAAAGGGGGAAUUUUUUAAAACAAAAUUAUGGGAAACCAUUAUUUUCGACUGAGUUCAUGUGCUAGGCCCCAACAAACCAAACCAAACUAAUAUGGAGUGACUCAUGCUAAAUAUGACAUAAUCAAGCUAAGGCUUUAAGAAAACACAGAUCCUAGAACAGACCAGGUUUUGUUUUUCUCCUGUAAACAGGAUGGUCCAGCAUAAGGUACUCUCUACUCAGUCCUUAUUCUCUCCUUGCAAAACACACUAUUCUGUUUCCCAGUAGGUUUCAAAAUCAUAUAAGUACAUUUACAACAGUAACAGUAACAUCAAUAACUAAGGUUUUAGUCAACCUCUCAAAAUUGAGAAAAUGACCAAAAG
rnacentral:lncRNA from 1 species